rnacentral:rRNA from 1 species
UACGGGGGGAGCAAGCGUUUGUUCGGAUUUACUGGGCGUAAAGGGCGCGUAGGCGGUCGUGACAAGUCACUUGUGAAAUCUCCGGGCUUAACUCGGAACGGUCAAGUGAUACUGUCGGACUAGAGUACAGAAGGGGCAACUGGAAUUCUCGGUGUAGCGGUAGAAAUGCGUAGAUAUCGAGAGGAACACCUGCGGCGAAGGCGGGUUGCUGGGCUGACACUGACGCUGAAGCGCGGAAAGCUAGGGGAGCAAACGGG